UACGUAGGGUGCGAGCGUUGUCCGGAAUUAUUGGGCGUAAAGAGCUCGUAGGCGGUUUGUCGCGUUCGACUGUGAAAACCCGAGGCUUAACCUCGGGCCUGCAGUCGAUACGGGCAGACUAGAGUUCGGUAGGGGAGACUGGAAUUCCUGGUGUAGCGGUGAAAUGCGCAGAUAAUCAGGAAGAACACCCGUGGCUAAGGCGGCUCUCUAGUACGGUACUGACGCUGAGACGCGAAAGCGUGGGGAGCAAACAGG
rnacentral:rRNA from 1 species